rnacentral:rRNA from 1 species
UGUCUAUUAAUUGUAGACCAGUAUGAAAGGCAAAAUGAGGGUUUAACUGUCUCUUAUAAUAAAUCAAUUAAACUGAUCUACCAGUAAAAAAGCUGGCAUACCCACAUAAGACCAGAAGACCCUGUGAAGCUUAAACUAAACUAUUAAACCCUAUAAUAACUACUUUCGGUUGGGGCGACCUUGGAAAAAAAAAGAACUUCCAAACACAAUGAUUAUAACCCAUACAACACCCAGGCCUACAAGCCUAUUAAACGACCCAGCAUAGCUGAUAAUUGAACCAAGUUACUCCAGGGAUAACAGCGCUAUCUUCUUCAAGAGUCCAUAUCAAAAAGAAGGUUUACGACCUCGAUGUUGGAUCAGGACAUCCUAAUGGUGCA